AGUGUAUCGAGCGCCUCUGUAAAGAAUCGAAGUCUAAACCCUCCUCUCUUCACUAUCCCCUCGAAAUCUCUCUAAAUUCGAAGCCGCCAAAAUGGUAGCAUCAGCUGUUUCAGUGCCUCUUAGCUUCUCUAUCUCUUAUCGCAACAAAACCCCCUCCAUUUCUCUAUUAUCUCACAGAAACUCGGCGAGGUAUAUAGUUUCCUCUUUGCAUAGUCCCUACGGCGAUUCUUCGGCGACAGGUAAGUUUCCAAUCACAAUUUUUACGAAAUUACGAAGUUAUUUUUGAUUCUGCAUGUAUUUAGUUAUUGAUGCAGUUUCUCUAUAAGUUUAAUUAUUGUUAAUUCAAUGUUAGCUAAGUUACGAUUAAUUUGGUUCGCUUUUGUAUAUUUUGGUUCGCUCAUUUCUUUUAUGCUCGUACAGACACAUGUAGCGGUUUAUAUAACUGAGUUACUGUUAAUUGUAUCCCUAUGUUCAGGACUAUCAAGUAAAACUUGUGGGUUUUCUCUAAGGGUUGAUGAGAAGGAUAUUCGAAAUGCUAAUCAAAGGUUUCAUGCUUCCACUUGUUGCUUUGAAGUCCUUCACUUGCUCUUUAGUUUCUUUUUUCCAAGAUUUCAUUAGACUAUAUACAAUAUUUUAUCCAUCGCUUUUGUAAGUUUUAUUUCCAGCAAUUUUUAUGCACUUUUUUUUUCAACUUAUUUUUUUGCCCUGCUUGUAGAGAAGGUAUUAUUGUGUUACCAAAUAAUUCUCAAUUAUGUGAACAAGUAUAUGUACUUCCUUUGAUGUCCUUCUGAGGGAUAUUUGUGUUCCUUGUACAAAAUGAACUACAAUGUUGAUUGGUGAAAAUUGAAUGAAACUAUCCGUCUUAACCAUGAAGGAUGAAUCUGACAAUUUUUCAUGGGCAUGUGCUUUAUCAUAAUAUACUUGCAUGUGAAAUUCGAAAUGCAUUGAUAUAGCUUGGUUCUUUGUCAAAGCAAUUGCAAACUAUACAUGAUAGCAAGAAAUUUUGACUGAUAAAGUAUAGUGGAUAUCAUGAUGGGAAGGAGUUGCCGUUUUGUUGUUGGUGUUUUUUCCAUUUCCCAGAGUGUUGCAACUGUCACAAGUUCUAUAUCUUUGACCAAACAUUGUAACUCUUUUUCCGUGGACCAAUCAUGGAUAGUUUUAUGUUCCAGAAGUUCUUUCUUGGUUUCUUCUUCUCUGAUUAUUACGUUGAUAGUGGACUAUGAAUUCAUAUCCCAUAGUUUUUACAUAGUUAUCCUGCAAUUGAAGCCAAAAAAGGAAAUCCACCCAUUAUGCCAGCAGUUAUGACUCCCGGAGGACCUUUGGAUCUAUCAUCUGUAUUAUUUAGGAAUCGCAUAAUCUUCAUCGGGCAACCAAUCAAUUCACAGGUGGCUCAGCAAGUUUUAUCGCAGCUUGUGACUCUAGCAACCAUUGAUGAGAAAGCAGAUAUUCUGAUGUAUCUCAACUGCCCCGGUGGAAGCACCUACUCUGUGUUGGCAAUUUAUGAUUGCAUGUCAUGGAUAAAACCAAAAGUUGGCACCGUAUGUUUUGGAGUAGCUGCAAGCCAAGGAGCACUUCUUCUUGCUGGUGGAGAAAAGGGAAUGCGGUAUGCAAUGCCCAAUGCACGUAUUAUGAUACAUCAACCUCAGGGUGGAUGUGGGGGUCAUGUGGAGGAUGUGAGACGCCAAGUAAAUGAAGCUGUUCAAUCUCGCCACAAAAUUGACAGAAUGUAUGCUGCAUUUACUGGCCAACCUCUUGAGAAAGUGCAAGAAUACACCGAGAGGGAUCGUUUCUUAUCUACCUCAGAGGCUAUGGAGUUUGGUUUGAUUGAUGGCAUCCUGGAAACAGAAUACUGAACUGGGGUCUGUUCAUGUUUGGCCAUCAAAUACACAAAAAGGAAAUUACGGGUGGAAUUGCCUGAUUUAGAUCAGUGGAUUAAAUUGGCCAACGUUUGUAUUCAGAAAAAGAAUAGGCGGGCUUUGGUGAUGCAUCUCUGUAAUUUCUUGUUUCAAUGUUCUUUAAACAGGAAAUGAUUUAUUGUACCUGAAAAGCUUGAGCGGGUUGAAAUGGAAUUUUCAUUCGAUUGAAG
rnacentral:misc_RNA from 1 species